rnacentral:lncRNA from 1 species
AGGGCAAUGGUUGAUAUUGUAACAGGAGGAAUAGAAGUUAGAGCCAGUGAAUUAUCUCCCUUGUUACACAAGGGGGAUUCCCAAGAAGGUUCAAGUACAUGGUAUUGCAUGCUGAGGUGAGAGAUUCAGGACAGUUGGGGUGGGAGUAGGGGUGGCAUGAUCCCCCCAGCGUUGGUCAGACAAUGGAACUUUGUUUGGUUGCCACCUCCCCCUCCUGUAGAACAAAAAGGUCUACAGUUGCCCCUCCCUGGGGCCAGCCCACACACAUAGUCUCUCUGGAAUGACCUUCCUUGUGUGGGUAAGUCUUGGGGAUGGCACUGGGCCACAAUGGCCAAGAGGAAGGUGAGGACAGUUGAACCAUAGAGGGCUCACAUGUAGGGUCAUCUGAGCUGUAGGCUUGGGGUCUUGCUCUGCACCCAGCUGAGAGGGGUAUGAGGCCCUUCCCUUCCUGACUCUCCAGUCAAGAGCAAGCUGUAUGGCAACCAGGGAUUCAGCAAUGAGGACAGUUGUGCCAGGGAAGAAGACUUAUAUUUUCUAGUUAUCUUCAUUUUUUUCUGCAAGAAAUUUGAGUUUGCUGUAUUGUGAAAUCCAAUGCAGCUGUUCUGGGAGCUGGGCAGAAGGCAGUUUUGGCUGGGAGUCCUACAUCCUCAAUGCAGGGCAUAGACGCGGACUAGGAACCACAGAUACAGGACCCUGCUCAUUCUCCCACUUCUUUUCCCACCCCUCCUAGUGCCAACUAGGUACGGGGUGGUUCUGGGAGCUGUGAUCGGGGGUGUCCUCGGGGUGGUGCUGUUGCUGCUGCUGCUUUUCUACGUGGUUCGGUACUGCUGGCUACGCAGGCAGGCGGCCCUGCAGAGGAGGCUCAGGUAAGGGGCGGAGCCUAGCUCCCCUCCCCCUCUCCCCACUAUCCCCCAUGUGGGCGGAGACUACCCCAGUGGGUGGGAGGGCCAAGGGGAAGAGGAAGCUGUGUCCGCGGUGCAAGGGGUUCCGGCGAGGCCGAACGUACAGCAGUCUCUCUUCUUGCAGUGCCAUGGAGAAGGGGAAAUUGCACAAGCCAGGAAAGGACGCGUCGAAGCGCGGGCGGCAGGUUAGCGGGACUUGGGGCCUGGACAAGAUGGGAAGGAGAACCCUGGGAGCCGCCGGGCAGCAGUGAGGGGUGGGAUGGGAACAGUCAAGCCCCAGUCGCUCGGUGACUGAUGUGUGCGCCCCUCCCCCAGACGCCAGUGCUGUAUGCAAUGCUGGACCACAGCAGAAGCACCAAAGCUGUCAGUGAGAAGAAGGCCAAGGGGCUGGGGGAGUCUCGCAAGGAUAAGAAAUAGCGGUUAGCGGGCCGGGCGGGGGAUCGGGGGUUAGGGGUGGAGUCCGCCAAAGGCCCAAAGGUGAUGGUCAUCGAGAUGGAGCUACGAAAGGAUGAGCAGAGCUCGGAGCUCCGGCCUGCUGUCAAGUCCCCCAGCAGAACCAGCCUCAAAAACGCCCUCAAGAACAUGAUGGGCCUGAACUCGGACAAGUGAUCGCCACCCCCCAACCCCAGGCCCUGCCAGAGCAGGGGGACCUAGGCUCCUCUUACCCCCGUCUAGGUGCUUUCCCUCUUUGCUCCCCCGCCCUGCCCUGCCCUCACCUCCCUUUGAGAUGUAAGUUUCAUUCCAGAAUUCAUUCCCCAGGCAAUUGUAUUCUCCCCCACCUUCACCCCUGGCUUUCUGGGAGGCCAGGAGCUAAUCCUACCCCUCACCUGCCCCGGGGGCUGUGUGUUUGGUGCCUGUCCAUCUGAGCACUGAGAAGAAAGGGACUUUGAUACCCUCUGCCUCAAGUCCAGGCCACCUGGCAUUCCCAUCUCCUGCAUCCCCCAGCCUGUCCCCCUGGCUGUUUCCUCUCCCGUCCCUCCCUCCCCUCUACCAGGUGGCCCAGCUCCAUACUCUGUCCCCCCAGCUAAUACCCAGAGCACCCAGAUCAGACUCUCCUUCAGGGUUUAUUUAGGUUAUUAUUUUUUAUUUUUUAAUCCAUUCUUUGUUUGUUUACCUGUGCUCAUCCUCUGCCCUUACACCCA